rnacentral:misc_RNA from 1 species
UUCUGGUGAUUAUAGCAGUGCAAGUAACAAAAAAUCCUCACUAGAUUAAUGAUUUCUAGUGGGAAAUUUUAAUUAAGUAGUACUAAGAACAAAAUUUCUUAAUCGAUGAUAUACAUGAUGUGUAAUAAUGCACAAUUAUGUGAGCUUAGUUCUCAUCAUAUUCAAUCACACAAUGAACAAAAUUUGGGAUGAGAAACAAAGCAAUGCAUUUAACAUACUAUUUACAGUACCUAGCUUGAACAUGACGAGACCCAAAAGGAAAAAAAAAAUUGCAUCAGGCAAUCUUGG